rnacentral:tRNA from 1 species
CCCCCGGUAGCUCAGCCUGGUAGAGCUUCCGGCUGUAGACCGGAGCGUCGGGUGUUCAAAUCACCCCCGGGGGA